UACGUAGGGUGCAAGCGUUGUCCGGAAUUAUUGGGCGUAAAGAGCUCGUAGGCGGUUCGUCGCGUCGGCUGUGAAAUCCCGAGGCUCAACCUCGGGUCUGCAGUCGAUACGGGCGGACUGGAGUUCGGCAGAGGAGACUGGAAUUCCUGGUGUAGCGGUGGAAUGCGCAGAUAUCAGGAGGAACACCAACGGCGAAGGCAGCUCGCUGGGACGGUACUGACGCUAAGGCGCGAAAGCGUGGGGAGCGAACAGG
rnacentral:rRNA from 1 species